rnacentral:lncRNA from 1 species
CAAAGAGCUGGGAGAAGCCGCAGCAGAGAGUCUGAGAGGCAUCUACAUCACCUUUUUCCCUGAGAAGGACUUGGUGAGGGCGCUUCCCAGGAGGUCGUUGGUGAUGAAAGAGGCCUCAGCAUCCAGCAUGCUGAUUCCCUGAGGCUCGAAGAUGUCUACCUCGAUCUGAAAUGGCCAAAGUAAGGAAAUGUCACUCAGUGACCUCAGAGGCCAGUUCCCAGAACAAGGCCAAUGGGAAUGAGAUGGGUCUGUGGUGAUGCAGGGACCCUCUAGGACAGUGCUGAGGGCCAAGCCUGGUGUCUCCCACUGCGAAAGUGACCACAGGGGCUUGGAGGAGAGUAUGCUGAUCGGGAGGUGUUACCACCGCCUGCCAUAUGCGCCCGAAAUUCCACCACUGAUGCUUUUCCUUUGGCUUUCAGCUUUGAGGUAGGAAAAAUGCCCAUGUGCCCAGUGAGAAGCCUUACAGAGGCACUUGCUGGUGUUGCUCUUGAGGGCCCAGCACCGAAUCUGCAUCUGUGGAGUCCAUCCCAGCCUCUUCCCCUUGGCCCCAGAUGCUUUUGGCCAGAACCAUUGAAUUCCUCCAGCCUUCCCAGCCAAGGAUGGGGGAUGCCGUGAGGCAGAACUUUUGUUUUUGACCCCUGUCUGAGACUGCCCCAUGGGCGGGUUCCUGCACCCCGCUGCCGUCCCCCCAGGUCUGCAGGGGCGGUUGAUUACCUCAAAGUGUUUGACCAGUUGCUUAGGCUGGACCUUGAGGUACAUCUCGUACUUGCCCUUGUGCCUCUUCAGCAGCUCCUCGUAGGUUAGCUCGAAGGUGACUUUGCUGCCUGCAGCCACGUUGACCGAGACUGUGAACUUCUCCAACUUCCUCCCAGAGGCCCUGACCAGGGUGCGAGAUGGUGACUCCCUCAAAGACUGCAGGAGCCCACCCUUCCUCGGCCCUCGGCCCCAGGCCCAGCCCUUUGGCGAGGGAGAUCCCUAACCAUUCUGAGCCUCACUUGCCUCAGCCUCAACGUGGGAUAAUGGCAAAAUUAUGGGCACAUUUUGCUAUACCAAUAAUAAUAGCUGUUGUUGUUGUUUGUAGCCCUGAAGGCCCUUGGAUCCCAGACAUUCUCCCCAAGGCCUGGGAGUCCAUACUUACUUGACCAAGCCGGCCGUCUUGCCCUGGGACACAGCCUUUUCAUACUGCUUCUUGGCAACUUCCUUCUCCUUGACAUUCCCAGGGUAGGUAACACCGUCGAUGGUCCUGCAGGGAAAGAGAGUUGGGGGUAGGGAGAUCACACUGGGCCAGACCCCCUGUUCCCGAGCCCAGAGCCAGCAGCCAUGGUGGUAC